CGGUUAAAGCAUCUUCGGAUGUGUAUAAGUGGCGAACGGCUGAGUAACACGUGGGCANCCUGCCCUUUGCACUGGGAUAGCCUCGGGAAACCGAGGUUAAUACCGGAUACUCCAUAUUUGUCGCGUGGCGAAUAUGGGAAAGCUCCGGCGGCAAAGGAUGGGCCCGCGGCCUGUUAGCUAGUUGGUGGGGUAGUGGCCUACCAAGGCAAUGAUGGGUAGCCGGGUUGAGAGACCGACCGGCCAGAUUGGGACUGAGACACGGCCCAGACUCCUACGGGAGGCAGCAGUGGGGAAUCUUGCACAAUGGGCGAAAGCCUGAUGCAGCGACGCCGCGUGCGGGAUGAAGGCCUUCGGGUUGUAAACCGCUUUCAGCAGGGACGAGGCCGCAAGGUGACGGUACCUGCAGAAGAAGCCCCGGCUAACUACGUGCCAGCAGCCGCGGUAAUACGUAGGGGGCAAGCGUUAUCCGGAUUCAUUGGGCGUAAAGCGCGCGUAGGCGGUCUGUUAGGUCAGGAGUUAAAUCUGGGGGCUCAACCCCUAUCCGCUCCUGAUACCGGCAGGCUUGAGUCUGGUAGGGGAAGAUGGAAUUCCAAGUGUAGCGGUGAAAUGCGCAGAUAUUUGGAAGAACACCGGUGGCGAAGGCGGUCUUCUGGGCCAUGACUGACG
rnacentral:rRNA from 1 species